rnacentral:tRNA from 1 species
GGGGAGUUAGCUCAGCAGGCUAGAGCGCCACGUUGACAUCGUGGAGGUCGUUGGUUCGAUCCCAAUACUUCCCACCA